AAAAGCUCGUAGUUGGAUUUGUGGUGUACUUCGGCGGCCCGUCACUAUGUGAUGGAGCUUGCUGAAGUCGCCAUCCUUGGGUGGAUCCUGUGUGGCAUUAAGUUGUCGUGCAGGGGAUGCCCAUCGUUUACUGUGAAAAAAUUAGAGUGUUCAAAGCAGGCUUAUGCCGUUGAAUAUAUUAGCAUGGAAUAAUAAGAUAGGACCUUGGUACUAUUUUGUUGGUUUGCGCACCAAGGUAAUGAUUAAUAGGGACAGUUGGGGGUAUUCGUAUUUCAUUGUCAGAGGUGAAAUUCUUGGAUUUUUGAAAGACGAACUACUGCGAAAGCAUUUACCAAGGAUGUUUUCAUUAAUCAAGAACGAAAGUUAGGGGAUCGAAGAU
rnacentral:rRNA from 1 species